UAGUUCCCAUAACUAAUGAAAUUUAAGUAAAAUUACUCAAAAUGUCCAAGACAUGCUGUUACGCAUGCGCACUGGGCGACAAUUGCCCCUCCCCCACGUCGCAGAAGCACAACGGCUGAAGACUCAACGUGUGUUUGCAGAGGAUCUAUUUCGGUAAAAUCAAGGUAAAAGCUUUUAAUUUAAGUCUCAUUUUUUGCUUGCUAGUCCUUAUGAUGGUUAGAUUUUAUGCACUUUGUUGCAUGUUGUUUUGUGGAACAUCUUAGCCCAUUCAAAGAACUCAAACACGGUUGACCCUGCACAUUAUUUGAAGCGAUUUCUGUUCAAACCACUUAACUUAAUGUCCACUUCAUAUCUGUAAAAUUAGCUGCCUGGUUGUCUAUUAAUUACUAUGUUAUCCAUUCGUGCUAGUGAUAAGUUACGAGAAUAGGAGUAAUUUGAACGACGGUUGUUUCAUGUGACGUUUUGCAGAAUUCAAAAUUCAGUGAGAAGUAAACAAAACACUUCAAACGAGGAGAUCGUUUUUAAUUUCGUAAACGCUUAGCAUAUGCUGUAGGAUAUUUUAUUCUGGACGCGGUACAUUCGAAUGAGGAGCUCAGAGACACGGCCGCAUUCACGCUAGAGAGCGCGCAAUCCGGUCAGUGUACAAACGGAUGGAAAAGAACGCUACAUCUUCAGACGGGUUCUUUUAAAAUAACUCUUUUUAACUUGACACGGCGAUUUUGAAAGCAACUAUGAGUGCUAAACUGUAGUCAAGCCGUAGCAUUAUUUGUUAGAAAUACCUGGUUGCGACGAAAAUAGUAUGCGUGCUUAGUAUGAUAAUUACGGUAAUGUGCAGGCAGUAACAAACAACACGCAUUCUGAGAUUGUCAACGAGUCUUUAGCAGACCCAUCACCCCCACCUCCUCAAGCAGAGUAUAUAUAACAUUGAAACUUAUUUAAAUAAUACCAGCUGAUGACUGCUGUGCAGUGGAAAUAUCGAUCAUCUUGAUAAAACCUCAGUAUAUCAUCAGGAGCAACAGGCCACAUUUUCAGCUAAAAAUCUUCUUUGCUGUUCUGCUGAAGAAAAAUACUCAUGAACAUCUUGGGUGGCGUAAGGAUCUUUGCAGGAUUCAGUCGCAUAUCUCGGAUCUGAGUUCUGCGCAGCACUGGACACAGACUCUGCACUUUUGACAUUUUCUAGAAAAAGGAUUUUAAAUUUCACAUCAAGUUAAUUAAAAGUCAUCUGAUGUUUCCACUGCAGUACUUCAGGGCCUUUCAGUCAUCCUGGAGGAUGACCCACAGGAAUUUUACAGGAUGUGUUUCGAUGUGGAUGCAGACUUCAGUCAAGCAGUUGUAGACCUGCUCACAGUUCUACCAGAGGACAUGCCCUCAUUGUGGAUGCAAUAAAGGCAAUCAUGGAGGGAAGAAUUGUCAUGAAUGGGUUUUAAAGGCCUGUAUUUUAUUUUUGCUGUUCUGUUUGCAUGCCAUUCUGAAAAUGCUCUAUUGUUUAACAGUGUUCCAGUGGGUCCAGAUAAUGUUAUGACAACAAAGUGCUGUUUAGUUAAGAAGUCUGUAAAGAGUAUUAUAAGAACACAGAUGUUUU